rnacentral:pre_miRNA from 1 species
UAUUAGGUUGGUGCAAAAGUAAUUGUGGUUUUUGCCAUUGAAAGUAAUGGCAAAAACUGCAAUUACUUUUGUACCAGCCUAAUAAAUCAUCCACCCGACCAAA